GGGGAAUAUUGGACAAUGGGCGCAAGCCUGAUCCAGCCAUGCCGCGUGGGUGAAGAAGGCCUUCGGGUUGUAAAGCCCUUUUGUUGGGAAAGAAAUCCUGUCGAUUAAUACUCGGCGGGGAUGACGGUACCCAAAGAAUAAGCACCGGCUAACUUCGUGCCAGCAGCCGCGGUAAUACGAAGGGUGCAAGCAUUACUCGGAAUUACUGGGCGUAAAGCGUGCGUAGGUGGUUCGUUAAGUCUGAUGUGAAAGCCCCGGGCUCAACCUGGGAAUUGCAUUGGAGACUGGCGGGCUCGAGUACGGUAGAGGGUGGCGGAAUUCCUGGUGUAGCAGUGAAAUGCGUAGAGAUCAGGAGGAACAUCCGUGGCGAAGGCGGCCACCUGGACCAGUACUGACACUGAGGCACGAAAGCGUGGGGAGCAAAC
rnacentral:rRNA from 1 species